rnacentral:rRNA from 1 species
GGCUCAGGACGAACGCUGGCGGCGUGCCUAACACAUGCAAGUCGAGCGAGGAGAUCCUUCGGGAUGAUCCUAGCGGCGGACGGGUGAGUAACACGUGGGCAACCUGCCUCAUAGAGAGGAAUAGCCUUCCGAAAGGGAGAUUAAUACCUCAUAACAUUGCAGUUUCGCAUGGAACAGCAAUUAAAGGAGUAAUCCGCUAUGAGAUGGGCCCGCGGCGCAUUAGCUAGUUGGUGAGGUAACGGCUCACCAAGGCGACGAUGCGUAGCCGACCUGAGAGGGUGAUCGGCCACAUUGGGACUGAGACACGGCCCAGACUCCUACGGGAGGCAGCAGUGGGGAAUAUUGCACAAUGGGGGAAACCCUGAUGCAGCCAACGCCGCGUGAGUGAUGACGGCCUUCGGGUUGUAAAGCUCUGUCUUCAGGGACGAUAAUGACGGUACCUGAGGAGGAAGCCACGGCUAACUACGUGCCAGCAGCAGC